rnacentral:rRNA from 1 species
UACAGAGGUGGCAAGCGUUGUUCGGAAUUACUGGGCGUAAAGGGCGCGUAGGCGGUUCGUCAAGUCCUGUGUGAAAUCCCCCGGCUCAACUGGGGAACUGCACAGGAAACUAGCGGGCUUGAGUUCGGGAGAGGGAAGCGGAAUUCCGGGUGUAGCGGUGAAAUGCGUAGAUAUCCGGAGGAACCCCGGUGGCGAAGGCGGCUUCCUGGACCGACACUGACGCUGAGGCGCGAAAUCUAGGGGAGCAAACGGG